CAUCACUACGCUAGAUGCAUAUCAAUAAGCGGAGGAAAAGAAACUAACAAGGAUUCCCUUAGUAACGGCGAGUGAAGCGGGAAGAGCUCAAAUUUGAAAUCUUCAAGGUUCUACCUUGACGAAUUGUAGUUUAUAGAAGUGUUUUCUGUUAGUAGAGUGGCAAAAGUUCUUUGGAAUAGGACAUCAUAGAGGGUGAGAAUCCCGUAUUUGGUCAUUCCUCCUAGCGUUGUGAUACACUUUCAACGAGUCGGAUUGUUUGGGAAUGCAGUCCAAAAUGGGUGGUAAAUUUCAUCUAAAGCUAAAUAUUGGCGAGAGACCGAUAGCGAACAAGUACCGUGAGGGAAAGAUGAAAAGAACUUUGAAAAGAGAGUUAAACAGUACGUGGAAUUGUCAAAAGGGAAGCGUUUGACACCAGUGUUGUUUAGUUGAAAAUCAAUUCAAUAGUUUUUGAUUCUAAGUAGUAUUGACUUCAUCAGCUUGCUGCUUUCUUCUCAGAAAUUAUUGAAUGCACUUUUCAGUUAACAAGUCAACAUCAAUUUCUUUUGUUGUAAAAGGGUAAGAGGAAGGUGGCUUGCGCUUCGGCUCAAGUGUUUAUAGCCUUUUAUCUCUGCAAUCGGAGAGAUUGAGGUCUGCAGCGCAGAUCCUUCGGGGUUAGAUACAUUGGUGCUAAGCUAUAGCCUUGCAUAGACAACUUGUUGACUAUGCUCAGUCAUGUAGCUUACUCGCUGAUGCUAUUUUACCUACGCUUAGGAUGUUGACACACGCGCGUGCUCG
rnacentral:rRNA from 1 species